UUAAAUCGAGAGAAAGUUGCCGAGUUAGGAGUUGUAAACUAUUUAGUCACAGAUAUUCCCUAUAAAGCAGUUCUCUUUGUCAGUGAGAAUAACAUUGCAAAGAUCAGCAGUAUUAGAAAUAGCGUGAUGCGUUAAUAACAAACUUCGUUCUGAGGCCGCUAACAAUGGGUCUAAGGGAAUUCGUAUCAGUAUGACCGAGGAACGGAUUAUGGUUUAUGAUAAUCGAAUUCAAUCGACAGGAAUUCAAUGAGUCGAACACUAACCAAAUUGCGUUCCAAUAAGUGGAGUUCUGCUGUAACAACGAAUGACGUUUCAA